AGUGAACGCUGGCGGCAGGCCUAAUACAUGCAAGUCGAACGGCAGCACAGCAGAGCUUGCUCUGUGGGUGGCGAGUGGCGGACGGGUGAGGAAUACGUGGGAAUCUGCCCAGUCGUGGGGGAUAACGUAGGGAAACUUACGCUAAAUACCGCAUGCGCCCUUCGGGGGAAAGCCGGGGACCUUCGGGCCUGGCGCGAUUGGAUGAGCCCACGUCGGAUUAGCUAGUUGGCGGGGUAAAGGCCCACCAAGGCGACGAUCCGUAGCUGGUCUGAGAGGAUGAUCAGCCACACUGGAACUGAGACACGGUCCAGACUCCUACGGGAGGCAGCAGUAGGGAAUAUUGGACAAUGGGCGCAAGCCUGAUCCAGCCAUGCCGCGUGAGUGAAGAAGGCCCUCGGGUUGUAAACUGCUUUUGUACGGAGCGAAAAGGCUCUCUCUAAUACAGAGGGCUCAUGACGGUACCGUAAGAAUAAGCACCGGCUAACUACGUG
rnacentral:rRNA from 1 species